rnacentral:rRNA from 1 species
AAAGAUUCUUCGGAGGAUUUCCUAUUUGACUGAGCGGCGGACGGGUGAGUAACGCGUGGGUGACCUGCCCCAUACCGGGGGAUAACAGCUGGAAACGGCUGCUAAUACCGCAUAAGCGCACGGUAUCGCAUGAUACAGUGUGAAAAACUCCGGUGGUAUAAGAUGGACCCGCGUCUGAUUAGCUUGUUGGUGAGGUAACGGCCCACCAAGGCGACGAUCCAUAGCCGACCUGAGAGGGUGAUCGGCCACAUUGGGACUGAGACACGGCCCAAACUCC